GCCUGGGUGGCCCAGUUGGUUGAGCGUCUGAUUUAGGCUCAGGUCAUGAUCUCACGGUUCAUGGGUUUGAGCCCCGUGUUGGGCU
rnacentral:tRNA from 1 species